GCUGCCAUUCUUUUCCGUAUUUUCACAAGACUUUUUAUAUCUGGAGAAACCUGUUAAAGAGAAAAAUAUCUCCAUACAAUCAGUCAAGAAUUAAAUACAGGCUAGAAAGCUACAGAAUAUUUUGUUUAUUUUCCUCUCAGUGAGGUCACAGAAUGAGAUAUCUGAAUUCCUCUUCAUAACAUAGUGAGCAAGGUGAUCAAUCCAUCCUUACACUAGAACUCCCCGUCUGUCUAUAACACAGUGAGCAAGGUGAUCAAUCCAUCCUUACGCUAGAACUCCCCGUCUGUCUAUAACACAGUGAGCAAGGUGAUCAAUCCAUCCUUACGCUAGAACUCCCCGUCUGUCUAUAACACAGUGAGCAAGGUGAUCAAUCCAUCCUUACACUAGAACUCCCCGUCUGUCUAUAACACAGUGAGCAAGGUGAUCAAUCCAUCCUUACGCUAGAACUCGCCGUCUGUUUCUGUGUGCAGGGGAAAGGAGGCAUGCACAAGAGGAAGCAUGCGGGGCACUGGGGACCAAAUCAAGGAUUUUCUCGUUUAGCCUCAGAGCAAUGAGAU